CAGGACGCUGGGAUCGGCGGCGCUAUGAGUUCUUUCGAGGGGCAGAUGGCCGAGUAUCCAACUAUCUCCAUAGACCGCUUCGACAGGGAGAACCUGAGGGCCCGCCCCUACUUCCUGUCCCACUGCCACAAAGGUCACAUGAAAGGAUUAAGAGCCCCUACCUUGAAAAGAAGGUUGGAGUGCAGAUGAGGAAACUGAGGAACCAGAGAGGUUAAAUCAGUUGCC
rnacentral:lncRNA from 1 species